UAUGGCGGAAUCAAGGGGUAUGCGGUGCUCAGGGAAGAUGGAGCUGAAUUCGCAAAGAACAACAACCUGGAGGCCCUAUUCCAUGUCGAUGACCCCGGGCCGAGGGUCCCAAUCAAGAAGGGCAAGUUCUUGGAUGUGAAUGAGGCUCUGGAGGUGGUCAGAUUCGACAUCCAGUACUGCGAUUGGAUGGCGCGGCAGGAUCUCCUCACCAUCAUGGUUCUCCACAACAAGGUGGUAGAGGUUCUCAAUCCUUUAGCAAGAGAAUUCAAAUCUAUUGGAAAUUUGGAACCUUGAGGAAAGAGCUUGACGAGUUACAGGAGGAACUAGCAAAAGCUCACAAUCAGGUUCAUUUAUCAGAAGGAAGAGUAUCAUCUGCGCUCGACAAGUUAGCAUAUAUGGAGACCCUGAUAAAUGACAGGCUAUUGCCGGAUGGAGCCUCUAGUACAUCCACAGCCGAGUCCACUUCCCUAGUUUCAAGUACAUCACCCACCCACCACCCAUGUCCGAACUAAGAAACAGCCGCGUAGGACUCUGAACGUGUCUGGUCCAGUGAAACCCUACAAUCCCAGCUUGAAGAACUUCUGGUACCCAGUUGCCUUCUCCAGUGAUCUGAAAGAUGACACAAUGGCACCAAUAGAUUGUUUCGAGGAGCAGUGGGUGAUAUUCCGUGGAAAAGAUGGAAGGCCUGGAUGUGUUCAGAACACAUGUGCUCACAGUGCUUGCCCCCUUCAUCUUGGUUCAGUGAAUGUGGGUAGAAUCUAGUGCCCUUA